CCCAGCGUGAGCGCCCAGAGGUGCAGCGAGUGGACCGAGCGGACCGACUCCACCGACAGCAGAACUUCCUUCACUGACUUAAACUCGAUGCCUUUGGGAGAACCUGCAAAAAAAGAAGGUCUCCGACCACGUGGAUGAACGCCGCCCGGACACUGGUGCUGCCGUGGGCGCCGCCCAAGAGGGAAUGGCUGUGAGGGGCCUGGGGGCUUUGGGCCUCGUCGAUGUGCUGGUAGCCGCGGCCGUGGGCGUGGAAGGUGGUGGAGUGAUGUAGGAUGUACGCCAUGCUGACGAAGGUUCCCAAAACACAAAAGAUCUCACCGGCUGGACGAUAGCAUGCCGAAGCAACAGGGUUAAUGUGAGCUGGAGUCGGUGGUGAUCUCACCUGAGCGGUGCCAUCCGAAGGUCAUGUUCUUGGUGGCGGGUCUGGAGGAAAUCCACAAGGAGAAGAUGCUAACCAGCAUGCUGCCCAGGUCAGUCAAGAG